UACGAAGGGGGCUAGCGUUGCUCGGAAUUACUGGGCGUAAAGCGCACGUAGGCGGCUUUCUAAGUCGGGGGUGAAAUCCUGGAGCUCAACUCCAGAACUGCCUUCGAUACUGGAAAGCUCGAGUCCGGGAGAGGUGAGUGGAACUGCGAGUGUAGAGGUGAAAUUCGUAGAUAUUCGCAAGAACACCAGUGGCGAAGGCGGCUCACUGGCCCGGUACUGACGCUGAGGUGCGAAAGCGUGGGGAGCGAUCCGG
rnacentral:rRNA from 1 species